GUAGGUGAACCUGCGGAAGGAUCAUUAUUGAAUAUUUGAAGGGGUUGUUUGCUGGUCCCUAGCGGGACAUCGUGCACGCCUCGUUCAAAAAUCCAACCUUCAUACCCCUGUGCAUCAUUUGUAGGGUUGCGGCCGUCAGGCCUGCGCUCUAUGUUUAUCACAAACUCUGUAGUAUGUGUAGAAUGACAUCGCGUAUAACGCAUUUAUAUACAACUUUCAGCAACGGAUCUCUUGGCUCUC
rnacentral:misc_RNA from 1 species